rnacentral:rRNA from 1 species
UGGGGAAUAUUGGGCAAUGGGCGAAAGCCUGACCCAGCGACGCCGCGUGGGUGAUGAAGGCCUUCGGGUUGUAAAGCCCUUUCGUGCGGAAAGAACAGUCCCGUAGUGAAUAUCUACGGGAUUUGACGGUACCGCAGGAAGAAGCACCGGCUAACUCCGUGCCAACAGCCGCGGUAAUACGGAGGGUGCAAGCGUUGUUCGGAAUUAUUGGGCGUAAAGGGCGCGUAGGUGGUUGUGAUAGUCAGAUGUGAAAUCCUCUGGCUCAACUGGAGAACUGCAUCUGAAACUUCAUAACUCGAGUACAGGAGAGGGAAACGGAAUUCCCGGUGUAGAGGUGAAAUUCGUAGAUAUCGGGAGGAACACCAGUGGCGAAGGCGGUUUCCUGGCCUGAUACUGACACUGAGGCGCGAAAGCGUGGGGAGCAAACA